UCCCUAGUGGCUCAGAGGGUAGAGCAUCUGUCUGCAAUACAGGAGACCUGGGUUCAAUCCCUGGGUUGGGAA
rnacentral:tRNA from 1 species